AACGCACAUUGCGCUCUCUGGUAUUCCGGAGAGCAUGCUUGUUUGAGUAUCAGUAAACACCUCAACUCUUUUUUUCUCUCUGGAGGGGAAAGAGUUGGACUUGAGCUAUCCCAACAGAACUCGUUUCUGGCGGGCGGCUUGAAAUGCAGGUGCAGCUGGACUUUCUUCUGAGCUAUAAGCAUAUUUAUUUAAUCCCUUAAAACGGGUUAUUACUUUUUGCUGCAGCUAAUAUAAAGGUUGAUUGUUCUCUAUGCUGACUGAUGCAGGAAUUUGGCAAAAUAUCGUCUAGGCGAUUUUUUGUUAAACUCGAUCUCAAAUCAGGUAAGACUACCCGCUGAACUUAA
rnacentral:misc_RNA from 1 species